AUGGUGGGGAAGGGGCUGCCCCAGCCAGGCUGGACCUCAGAGGGGUCCAAGGAGGGUCCAAGUGGACAAGGAGGGUCCCUGUUCAAUCAUCAGCUCAUCUGGGCGUGGAGUCAUGAGGCAGCUGAUACAAGCCCUGUGCUCUCGACACAGGCAGAACUUUCCCAGGGCUGGAGGCCCAGGGAGGAGGGAGCAGGGUCGAGGCCUGCCUGGAAGGUGGUGCCCCAGAGGAUGCUCAUGAGCAGCUAUAGAGACGGCGUUAUCCCCCGGGGAGCAGGGCUCCCAGUCCAAGCUGAGCUCACACCCCUGACUUGUUACCACCCAGCUAGGGAGCCACCUUCUUCCAGGGCCCACAGCUUCACAUACAGACCUACGCAGAAAGACAUGUAUGUGCGAACAUGCAGGGCCAGAACUGGAGAAGUGCAGCACCCCAGACACACGAGUUUGACAGCCACACAUAUGAAUGCACGUGCUCACGCGUGCCCAUGGCCAUCCUAUGUAUACAGAGGAGCACACCCACACACGCCCAAACCCAUCCUUAUGUAUACAGAGAAGCACACUCACACACACACACCCAUCCUAUGUAUAGAGAGGAGCACACCCACACACACACCCAUCCUAUGUAUACAGAGGAGCACACACACCCACACCCAUCCUAUGUAUACAGAGGAGCACACCAACACACACACACCCAUCGUAUGUAUACAGAGGAGUAUACCCACACACACACCCAUCCUAUGUAUACAGAGGAGCACACAUACCCAUACCCAUCCUAUGUAUACAGAGGAGCACACACACCCACACCCAUCCUAUGUGUACAGAGGAGCACACCCACACAUGCCUGUACAUUUGCAACGCCCACAUGUAUACACACAAGUGUCAACAGGCACACCUGAAGGAGCACACACACACGUCCUUGUGUAUAUGUGCGUACACAACACACGUGUAUGUACUGCAUGCCCACACAUGUACAGGCUCAUACAUCCACACAUAUUUGCAUGGCACGUUUCCCCACAUGUCCACAGGCAAGCCUCUGGACUCCAAUAUUGGACCCCAGAGAUGCAUGCCAGGAGUCAGCCUGCAGUCUUCUCAUAG
rnacentral:lncRNA from 13 species